rnacentral:rRNA from 1 species
AACGAACGCUGGCGGCAUGCCUAACACAUGCAAGUCGAACGAGACCGUCGGGUCUUGGGGCGCACGGGGGCGUAACGCGGGGGAAGCUGCCCGUGAGUUCGGUAUAACUCCCCGAGAGGGGUGCUAAGACCGGAUAAGGUCUUCGGACCAAAGAUGUAUCGCUUUUGGAUGGGCGCGCGUUGGAUUAGCUAGUUGGUAGGGUAAAAGCCGACCAAGGCGACGAUCCAUAGCUGGUCGGAGAGGAUGAUCCGCCACACUGGGACUGCGGCACGGCCCAGACUCCUCCGCGAGGCAGGAGUAGGGUAUACUAGACGCUGGGCGCAAGCCUGAUCCCGCCACGCCGCGUGAGUGAUGCAGGCCUUAGGGUUGUACAGCUCUUUUACCCGGGAUGAUAAUGACGGUACCGGGAGAAUAAGCUCCGGCUAACUCCGUG